ACGGAGGGUGCAAGCGUUAUCCGGAAUUACUGGGUUUAAAGGGUGCGUAGGCGGUUAGGUAAGUCAGAGGUGAAAGAUUAUCGCUUAACGAUAAAAUUGCCCUUGAUACUGCUUAACUUGAAUCAGAAUGAGGUUGGCGGAAUGUGACAUGUAGCGGUGAAAUGCAUAGAUAUGUCAUGGAACACCGAUUGCGAAGGCAGCUGACUGGAACUUGAUUGACGCUGAGGCACGAAAGCGUGGGGAGCGAACAGG
rnacentral:rRNA from 1 species